rnacentral:rRNA from 1 species
AGCAGCCGCGGUAAUUCCAGCUCCAAUAGCGUAUAUUAAAGUUGUUGCAGUUAAAAAGCUCGUAGUUGAAUUUCGGGAUUAGUACGCUGGUCGUGCCUUCGGUACGUACUGGUGUUACUGAUUCCUACCUUCUGACGAACCAUCAUGUCAUUAAUUUGAUGUGGCGGGGAAUCAGGACUGUUACUUUGAAAAAUUAGAGUGUUCAAAGCAGGCUCGCGCUUGAAUACAUUAGCAUGGAAUAAUGAAAUAGGACGUUCGAUCCUAUUUUGUUGGUUUCUAGGAUUGACGUAAUGAUUAAUAGGGAUAGUUGGGGGCAUUAGUAUUCAAUUGUCAGAGGUGAAAUUCUUGGAUUUAUUGAAGACUAACUACUGCGAAAGCAUUUGCCAAGGAUGUUUUCAUUAAUCAAGAACGAAAGUUAGGGGAUCGAAGACGAUCAGAUACCGUCGUAGUCUUAACCAUAAACUAUGCCGACUAGGGAUCGGAUGAUGUUAUUUAAUGACUCAUUCGGCUACCG